rnacentral:rRNA from 1 species
UUAGAGUUUGAUCCUGGCUCAGGAUGAACGCUAGCGGCAGGCUUAACACAUGCAAGUCGAGGGGCAGCAUGUCCAGCAAUGGAUGAUGGCGACCGGCGGAAGGGUGCGUAACGCGUGAGCAACAUGCCCUAUACAGGGAGAUACACCAGGGAAACUUGGUCUAAUAUCCCAUAGCAUUCAUUGAAGGCAUCUUUAAUGAAUUAAAGCUUCGGUGGUAUAGGAUUGGCUCGCGUGACAUUAGCCAGAUGGUGAGGUAACGGCUCACCAUAGCAAUGAUGUCUAGGGGUUUUGAGAGGAAGGCCCCCCACACUGGGACUGAGACACGGCCCAGACUCCUACGGGAGGCAGCAGUGAGGAAUAUUGGACAAUGGAUGGAAAUCUGGUCCAGCCAUGCCGCGUGCAGGAAGACGGCCUUAUGGGUUGUAAACUGCUUUUAUACGGGAGCAAUAAGGGUUACGAGUAAUCCGAUGAGAGUACUGUAUGAAUAAGGAUCGGCUAACUCCGUGCCAGCAGCCGCGGUAAUACGGAGGAUCCGAGCGUUAUCCGGAAUUAUUGGGUUUAAAGGGUGCGUAGGCGGCCAUUUAAGUCAGCGGUGAAAUUUUGCAGCUUAACUGUAACAGUGCCGUUGAUACUGUUUGGCUAGGAUUUGGUUGUAGUGUGCGGAAUGUGUGGUGUAGCGGUGAAAUGCUUAGAUAUCACACAGAACACCGAUUGCGAAGGCAGCACACUAAGUCAUUAUUGACGCUGAGGCACGAAAGUGUGGGGAUCAAACAGGAUUAGAUACCCUGGUAGUCCACACUGU